rnacentral:lncRNA from 1 species
UCGCAUUGGGUUGCAUCGCCUCGGCUAUCAUCAUGAGGAGUAAGUUUGCUCUGGAAGUUGCUAGUGUUCUGCUGAUGCAGUAUGCAAGACACUGUUAGAGAUGUCUGAAGAUUCUUGCCUGUGCUAGCCUGAUUAGCUUAAGUGUCAAAGUCAGUACUACCAUUGUUGAUGCACAUGGCUACCGUUCUGUUGGAGCCAUGGAAUUACGGACCACCAUGUUUGCAUUUCAUGCGAUUUCAUCAGCUGACAGCGGUGUUAUAUUGCACGGUUUUGGCUAAAAAUAUGUUUGUUGUGCUACAUUGCACGGUUUUGGUUAAAAAUGUGUGUUAUGACAUUGUCUUAUCCUUGAUCAGAUUUUUUUUCAUUUUUGCGUGGUUGAUCAGAUUGUCUUCAUGCUUUGUUUCUUCUUUUAAACAUGGGUAGGCACGGUGCCGAUUUCGUUCCAGCUCAUGUACAAAGUACAACAUGAAUUACAAAGCCUCAAACGGCACAUUACGAAGCAAUUGCAUAAUUGGUAAGGGUUUGAUCUAUGAGCUGAGCUAACACAUCUAAAAGCAGAUCUAGGAAGAACCCUGAUGAGCACAAUUUUGAGCCACCGCAUUGCUAUCUCUUGUAGUUUCAUUAGCUAGGCUGUGAUCUGAUGACAGCCAUGGUUUUGGCUGAAAAAUAUGGUUUCUUGUGACAAUGGUGUUAAAAUUGCACGGUUUUGGCUAAAGAAGGUUUGUCUUGAAAUUGUCUUAUCCUUGAUCAGAUUUUCUUCACGCUUCGUUUCUUUCUUAACACGGAAAAGGCACCACGCCAACUUCAUUACAGCUCAUGUACAGAGUACAUUAUGAAUUUACAAAGCCCUCAAGCAGUACAUCAUGAAGCAAUUGCAUAAUUGGACACAUCCAGAAGCAGGUUCUGAAGAUCUAGUAUGAACCUGAUGAGCGCAAUUGUGAGCCACCCCAUUGAUCUCUCUAGGAAUAUGAUAGACAGAAUGGCCAGGCUGCGAUGAUUUUUCUGCAAGAAAUUGCUGAGGGAUGACAUUCUGAGAUCCCUGCUGGCUGCAGCCCUGUCUAGUGUCAGGUUGUGAGUGAGAUAGGAACGUGACCUGCCUGUUGGAGCUGAAGCUUGAGUGCUUGAUCUGCAGCUAGUGGCAGAGCAAUGUGCGUCCUGGUGGAGAGAAGGGAUCUGGACUUCAUCCUCGACAGGAGCCCCGUGCUGGAGACGCUGUGCGUCCAGGGCAAUGUGCUCAAGCUUCGUGUCCGGCUCGUCAGCCAGAGCCUCCGGUGCGUGCAGAUCGUCGGGUCCUUCAUCGAAGAGAUCUUCGUGUUGGACGCCCCACGCCUUAGAGCGGUUCAUCCAUUCGGAGGCCUGGAAUCCUGCUGGCAACUGCACCACCACGGUGAAGAUCGGCCAUGCCCCCAAGCUGCACUUGUUGGGAUACUUGGCGUUGGACCCACGAAAGCAUGUCUUAGACGUCGGCAACACCAUCAUCAAGGUGCCUGGUUUCUCCAUUGGUUCAAUCCUAGACUACCAAUGCAAAUUUGUGUGAUCUUUCUUUUCUUAAUUGGGUGAGUUGUGAAUCUGUGAUUGAUUGCAACUGCAGGCUGGGACAGGGAUGAGCCCAAGCACCAUGCUACCAGUUGUGAAAAUCCUGGCUUUGAAGGUGCGUUUCGCAGUCCGCAAUGAUGUCAAGAUGAUCCCCAAUGUCCUCAGAUGCUUUCCAAAUGUUGAGACGCUCCACAUCAUGGUGAGACCCCUGACGCUUCUUUUGGCAUCCAUUUGCACCAUCUUGGACUAGCAUCAUGUUGCUAAUUUCUAUUUGGUAUCAAUAGCUCAUAGCUGAUGGACUGCACAUGCUUUUCUCUACCAAUUUUUCAGUCUGGAAAAACUGAUCAAUCCACUGGCAAGGCCAACCUGAAGUUCUCGCUCGAGUCUGGUACCAUAGAAUGCAUAGAGUCGCGCAUCAAGCUGCUGGUUUUCCAUGGUUUCCAAGGGGAUCGAAGCGAGCUCGGCUUCCUCAAGUUCUUCUUCGAGAGCGCCUUGGUGCUGGAGGAGGUGGUGGUUGGUUCUGUUGGCCGCUGAUCCGACAGAUGAGAUGAUACGCAAGGCGGUGUUUCUGAAGUACAUGGAACGGGCCAGUGAAGCCUCCAUACUGUCGGUCGGCCGUUCUGGUCCUCAAGGCUUCGCUCAGAGCGCCAGGAGAGGAUCUGAUUUCUCCCUCGGCGACCCUUUUGCCAACUAUUGCCGCAGCGACUUGUAUCGUAUGUCAUCACCCCGCCCCUUGUACCUGUGCUAGCCUGAUUAGCUUCAGCGUCGAAGUUGGCAGUGUCAUUGUUGCAGCCGUUGUUCUACUGGUUGGCAAUUACGGACCACCGUGUAUGUGUUUCAUGCGAUUCCGUUAGCUAGGCUGUGAUCUUGAUGACAGCCGUGUUGCAUUGCACGGCUUUGGCUAAAAAUAUGUUUAUUGCGAUUGUGACAAUGGUGUUGCAUUUGCACGGUUUUGGCUAAGAAAUGUUUGUUAUGACAUUAUCUUAUGUCCUUGAUCAGAUCCUCUUCUUCA